rnacentral:rRNA from 1 species
AACGAACGCUGGCGGCAUGCCUAACACAUGCCAGUCGAACGAAGGCUUCGGCCUUAGUGGCGCACGGGUGCGUAACGCGUGGGAAUCUGCCCUUUGGUUCGGAAUAACAGCUGGAAACGGCUGCUAAUACCGGAUGAUGACUAAAGCCCAAAGAUUUAUCGCCAGAGGAUGAGCCCGCGUUGGAUUAGGUAGUUGGUGGGGUAAAGGCCUACCAAGCCGACGAUCCAUAGCUGGUCUGAGAGGAUGAUCAGCCACACUGGGACUGAGACACGGCCCAGACUCCUACGGGAGGCAGCAGUGGGGAAUAGUGGACAAUGGGCGCAAGGCUGAUCCAGCAAUGCCGCGUGAGUGAUGAAGGCCGUAGGGUUGUAAAGCUCUUUUACCCGGGAAGAUAAUGACGGUACCGGGAGAAUAAGCCCCGGCUAACUCCGUG